CCUUACCCAUCAUCAUUACUUAUUUUCCUUCCUAUCUUCUCUCAUUCACUAACUUCAUAGUCCCACUGCCUCUGCUUUGACGAUCAAGCUCCCUUUGAUGAUCAAGGAUCGACGAUCGAGCUUCUUUAAGGAUCGACCUCCUUGUUGCCCACCGACUUUACAGUACCUCUCCCUUCUCUCUUUGAUAGGUGCAAUAUUUCUCACAUCCCUUCCCUCGCCCCUCUCCCCUCUCCUUUCUCCUUUCUCCUUUCUCCUUUCUUCCCACACACAAUACAAAUUUUCUACCCUCAAUGUCACCAAUUGCAUCACCAAUAGCACACCCAGAGCCAUCCUUCGCUGAUUGUGGUGUAAUGUAUGGACACUUGUUUGCAAGAACCAAAGAAAAAAAAAGGAUUCGAAGACGUGGAAAAUGUGUGUGGGUCACCUCAAACCAUUGUAACUCUCUCUGCAUCUGCAAAGCUGCACCAGAAAUGCCGUCAAGAUGAGAAGAAGGUGAUAGCAUGGCCGCGUGAUAACUGCAUAUAAAAAUAUGUUGCGCAUGUGCUCAUCAACAGUCCAUACGAUAUCAGGAUACGCUGAUCACUAUGAAAUUUGAAAAGCACAUGUUGACAUCUUGGUUUAUAUACUUAGAAGAAGAUGUCACCAAGGAAUUUGAAACCAUGCCCCCUUGUCCUGGUUGCAGAGGAGGGUUCAAGGAAGGGAUGAAUGCAUGUUGUGGAACAGGACCGUUUAGGGGUUUAUUCUCAUGUGGAGGAACAAAGAAGGUGACAGAUUACUAAUUAUGUGACAAUACAGAUGAUUGUGUAUUGUUGGAUUCUUUUCAUCCAACAGAGAGGAUCCAUGAGCAAUUUGCAAAGGCUCUCUGGGAUGGACCCCUUGACUUUGUUGGACCAUAUAAUCUUCAACUACUCUUCUUCUCCAACAAGCUCACCAUUAUUGCUGACUUGGUUGAUGAUCCUGAAUCAGAUACUCAGCAUAUUUACUAAUACAUAAUUAGCAAAAUGUAACCCCCAAUGCCAGAGAGAAUGUUACCAUUUUGAACUUGUUUAAAUAAAAUAUAUCUAUGGUCAAAUUUGUGUUUUGUGUUGGUUUGGUUCUUGAAGGUUUAACUUUGUCAAUUUAUUAGUCUUAAAAAAGUUUUAGGUUGAGUCAAAUUGAUUCAAUUUCAAACAGUGCAUUAAAAUUGUUAAUGAAAUGGUACUAGAGCAUUUUGUUACUAAUUUUAACACCUUGUUUGAAAUUGGGUCGAUUUGACUCAAAUUAAAAAUUUAUGAUAUAAAUUGACAAAAUUGUAACUUGAAGGAUCAAAAUGACACUUAACAUAUACCUUAAGGACUAUAUGUGUAUUAUAAACCUUUUGUAUUAUUAUGGAAAUGUUGUUUGCGACCUAUGUGUCAUGGGUUCCAAACACAAGUUUGUAUAAUGUGUGAGAUAAGAUUGCAUACAUUUAAUCCUUCUCAGACCUUGUUGGGCUGUCAUUUUAAGCCAUGCUUGAUUGUGUAAUAAAUGAAUGUAUGAGUUCAUGAUA